ensembl:lncRNA
CUCACAUAUCCAUUUGAGAGGAGCACAUUUGCAUUUUAUGGAAUUAUUAUAAAACCAAAAGGAAAAAAAAGAUCUCGUCUUGCUUGAAGCAUCGCUCACACGACAGACAGUCUGAUGCAUGUUCUGUCUUCAUCUGUGGACUCAACACAUGGAGAAAACACCCUGUUUCAGAUGGUCUCUAUGGAGCGGAUUACAAGCACCUGUGUCUGUAUCGCUGUGACGAAAACCCCUUCUUUCCCCAUCUCUUCCACAAACUGUGGGUGUGUGCAGCACAGGGCGUUCACCGCGGCGGGUGGGUUUCAGCACAGUGGACAGCAGCCCGUUCAGCACAAUGGACAGCACCCGUUUAAUUAACACGCCUUCUUCAAUCAACCCGAAUGCACCACAUCGGCGCUUCCAAUACACGAAGCUGAUUUCCAGGUCCCCGUCUUGUCCUUUUCAGGUCUUUUUGCGGUCUGGGCUUGCUGUUCCUUGAACCAGUAGCCAGGAAGCCCUUACCCCAAAAAGUAUCUGCAGAGGACCAAAACAUCCUAACAGACAUAUCAAGCUCUCAAAAUCUCCAUCAAAACCCAGACUACUGAAAAGAAAAGUGUUCUUUUGCAUAACACACUCAUAAAUGUUGUUUUUCGUUUUUCAUUUUGUUAAACAAACAGUUUUGUCAUCUAAGUAUUUAUGUUUAAUAGCAAAUUAACCAUAAGGAUUUCUAAAACAGCCGUACACCUCCUAGUACAGCAUUUCACAUAAAUCCAGUGGCACACAAUGUGUGGAAAAUUUUACAUUUUAAUAUGAUUUGACUUCCUGUGUCUAAAAAUACACUCAAAUCCUGUCUCAAAUCAAGUAAAAACACAGUAGGUGGAGGAGAACUGAAACAAAACCUACAUUUACAUCUGCGCAGAAAUUAAGGCACAGCCCUCACCACACGUGUGACGCACAAGAUGAACCGUGACAAUGCACUUAGCAACCUCAAUCUGAAAGCAAGUGGAUCAUAACUUUUACUUGUUGGCCUGAAUAACUGAUACUGCUGAAUUAGAUUAAAUUAAUAUAUAAUAACUGAAACCUGAAUGGAGAGAUUUUGCAUAGAGGAAUCAUAUAGGGAUGCCAAUAAUUGUUUAUGAAAAAUGUUUUAUGAUAACAUUUUUAUUCUUUACAUAAUUUCACAGCAGUUUACUUUUAAUAUUUUGAAUUAUUUAUAU